GUUCGAAUCCCACCCUCUCCGCCAAAUGCCCAGAUAGCUCAGUCGGUAGAGCAGGGGACUGAAAAUCCCCGUGUCGGUGGUUCGAUUCCGCCUCUGGGCACCAAAAUAUGGCGGUAUAGCUUAGUUGGCUAGAGCGUUCGGUUCAUACCCGAAAGGUCAUAGGUUCGACUCCUAUUACCGCUACUAAAAUUUAAUGUGGGCCAUUAGCUCAGUUGGUUAGAGCGCCCGGCUCAUAACCGGUAGGUCUGGGGUUCGAGUCCCUGAUGGCCCACCACAUUAAAUUAAUUAAUAUAAAUUCGAGGUGUAGCGCAGUUUGGUAGCGCACAUGGUUUGGGACCAUGGGGCCGGGGGUUCGAGUCCCUUCACCUCGACCAAUAUAAGGUGGGUAUAGCUCAGUUGGUUAGAGCGCCAGAUUGUGGCUCUGGAGGUCGUGAGUUCGACUCUCAUUAUCCACCCCAACUUAUAUGGUCUAUUAGCUCAGUCGGUAGAGCACCUGACUUUUAAUCAGGGUGUCCCGCGUUCGAGUCGCGGAUAGAUCACCAAAAAGGUGGCGACAUAGCCAAGUGGUAAGGCAGUGGACUGCAACUCCUUGAUCCCCAGUUCGAAUCUGGGUGUCGCCUCCAAAAUAUUCCAAGGUAGCUCAACGGUGGAGCAACCGGCUGUUAACCGGUAGGCUGUGGGUUCGAGCCCCACCCUUGGAGCCAAAAAAGCCGAAGUGGCGGAACUGGCAGACGCACAGGACUUAAAAUCCUGCGGGACUUACCUCUCGUACCGGUUCGAUUCCGGUCUUCGGCACUUAUAAAACAAUAUCGCGGAGUGGAGCAGUUGGCAGCUCGUCGGGCUCAUAACCCGAAGGUCGUAGGUUCAAGUCCUGCCUCCGCAACCAUUAAAAUGGCUCGUUGGUCAAGAGGUUAAGACACCGCCCUUUCACGGCGGUAACAGGGGUUCAAUUCCCCUACGAGUCACCAAUUAAAUAUGCGGGUGUAGCUCAAUGGUAGAGUUCUGGCCUUCCAAGCCAGCUGUGAGGGUUCGAUCCCCUUCACCCGCUCCAAAAAUGGGACCAUAGCUCAGCUGGGAGAGCACCUGCCUUACAAGCAGGGGGUCACAGGUUCGAGCCCUGUUGGUCCCACCAUUUGCGGCCUGGUAGUUCAGUUGGUUAGAAUGCCAGCCUGUCACGCUGGAGGUCNGGGCUAAAACUUACUACCGAAGCUACGGCAUCAGUAAUGAUGGGUAGGGGAGCUUCCCAUACGGGUUGAAGCAUGACCGUAAGGACAUGUGGACAGUAUGGGAGUGAGAAUGUUGGCAUGAGUAGCGAGAUGUGGGUGAGAAUCCCACAGGCCGUAAACCCAAGGUUUCCAGGGGAAGGUUCGUCCGCCCUGGGUUAGUCGGGACCUAAGCUGAGGCCGAAAGGCGUAGGUGAUGGACAACAGGUUGAUAUUCCUGUACUACCGAUAACCGUUUGAGAGAAGGGAUGACACAGUAGGAUAAGCUAAGCACACUGUUGGUUAUGUGUGCCCAAGCAUUGAGGCAGUCAAAGUAGGCAAAUCCGCUUUGAUAAUGCUGGGAUGUGAUGGGGAGCGAAAUUUAGUAGCGAAGUAGCUGAUUUCACACUGUCAAGAAAAGUCUCUAUCGAGGUUAAAGGUACCCGUACCGCAAACCGACACAGGUGGGUGAGGAGAGUAUCCUAAGGCCAGCGAGAGAACUGUUGUUAAGGAACUCGGCAAAAUGACCCCGUAACUUAGGGAUAAGGGGUGCCACCAUCAGGUGGCCGCAGAGAAUAGGCCCAAGCGACUGUUUACCAAAAACAUAGGUUUCUGCUAAGUCGCAAGACGAUGUAUAGGAGCUGACGCCUGCCCGGUGCUGGAAGGUUAAGGGGAUCUGUUAGAGCAAUCGAAGCAGUGAACUUAAGCCCCAGUAAACGGCGGCCGUAACUAUAACGGUCCUAAGGUAGCGAAAUUCCUUGUCGGGUAAGUUCCGACCCGCACGAAAGGCGUAACGAUUUGGGCACUGUCUCAACAACAGACUCGGUGAAAUUGUAAUUCCGGUGAAGAUGCCGGAUACCUGCGACAGGACGGAAAGACCCCAUGGAGCUUUACUGUAGCUUGACAUUGGGUCUUGGUACUACAUGUACAGGAUAGGUGGGAGGCUUUGAAACCAGGACGCCAGUUUUGGCGGAGCCAUCCUUGGGAUACCACCCUUGUAGUACUGGGACUCUAACCAUAGGCCAUGAAUCUGGUCUUGGGACACUGUCAGGUGGGCAGUUUGACUGGGGCGGUCGCCUCCCAAAAGGUAACGGAGGCGCUCAAAGGUUCUCUCAGUACGGUCGGAAAUCGUACGUAGAGUGUAAAGGCAAAAGAGAGCUUGAUUGCAAGACAUACAGGUCGAGCAAGGAUGAAAAUCGGACUUAGUGAUCCGGUGGUUCUGCGUGGAAGGGCCAUCGCUCAACGGAUAAAAGCUACCCUGGGGAUAACAGGCUUAUCUCCCCCAAGAGUCCACAUCGACGGGGAGGUUUGGCACCUCGAUGUCGGCUCAUCACAUCCUGGGGCUGUAGUAGGUCCCAAGGGUUGGGCUGUUCGCCCAUUAAAGUGGUACGCGAGCUGGGUUCAGAACGUCGUGAGACAGUUCGGUCCCUAUCCGUCGCAGGCGUAGGAAAUUUGAGAAGACCUGUCCUUAGUACGAGAGGACCGGGAUGGACGUACCUCUGGUGUACCAGUUGUCCUGCCAAGGGCAUGGCUGGGUAGCUAUGUACGGAAUGGAUAAGCGCUGAAAGCAUCUAAGCGCGAAGCCAACUUCAAGAUAAGAUUUCCCACCGCAAGGGUAAGACCCCAGAAAGACUAUCUGGUUGAUAGGUCGAAGGUGUAAGUGCAGUAAUGUAUUUAGCUUAUCGAUACUAAUAGGUCGAGGACUUGACCAA
rnacentral:rRNA from 1 species